GUAUUUCAUUGUUUUGAAUAAGAGGGAUUAGUCUAUUUGAUGAUUCAUCCUAAACUUUCUUGGCAUACAUUAGUGUUCCUGCCAUGGGCAGGAGGGGAAUGACUGGGAUUUCGACGACGUAACUGGCAUAAAUUCAAGCAGAAAAGAUGGUUGGAUGUGCCGGAAUAAGGAGAAAGACAAAGGGAGGAUGAAACACUUUGCAAUCAAUUGUUCAUUAUGAUGGGCAGAGUUCAUCAAUUACUGAAGUUGGGGAUCUAGGGCUACUAGUGAGUCUGACUCUGAGCCCGAUGAAUUCACAUAUUCAGCUGAAGACGGCAUCACCAGUGCACAAGUAUGAAGUAAUUAGAGUUAAUCCUGCACAAGAGAGAAUACAACAAUGGCAUAGUGUGAUAAAAUCACAGUCGAGCCCUCAGUCUUGAGCAGAUAAGUUGAGCAAUUAGGGUUGAGUACGGGUAAGCAAACUGAACCAAGAGCCUCAAUUUGGGAUAAAUUUGACAUUUACAAAAGAUUUUGAAUGUUGGGUUCAAAAUGGAGUUUGUGAAUCCAUGGUUAGAACAAAAUUACUAAUAGAUAGGGGAAAUUGAGUUAAAUGACAUAUCAUCUGAACUGAAUAUUGGGGGCACACAGUAAUUUGUUGUGUUGGGGGAUUAUCCACCCUUCACAGUAUUGAAUGGGUAUAUCCAAAGGAUUUGGGAGAAAAUAUAGGAUAAACAAAAUAACAAUGCUCAAAAUGGUAUCGUGUUGGUUCAAUUUAAUAUCAAAGUGGGGCAAAUAGAUGUUUUGGAUGGGGUGUACAUCAUUUUAAUAAAAUGUCCCUGAUCAUUAAAUUUUGGCAUAGUGAUAUGAAUUUUUCUAAGAAGGAGCUAAGAUCUGUCCUUAUAUGGAUCAAACUCCCAAGAUUAGAUUUUAAGUACUGGAGUAUGUGGCGUUUGAGUAAGAUAGACAACCUUGUGGCGAAGCUAUUGAUGGUAGAUAAGCACAUUGAACAGAACUAGGGGCUAAACUUUGUGAGACUGCUUGUUGAAGUCAAAGUGGGUGCUAAAUUACCAGAGAAAGUGUACUUCAGGAAUGAGAAAGGUAGUAUGAUUGACGUUAUGCAUGAUUGAAAACCUUCAAUUUAUGCAUGUGUCCAUAGACCAUAAAUAUGGGCAUACAGAAUAUAAUUGUCGAAAGAAUAAACCUGAACAAAAUGUGAGAAAAGCAAAGUCCUGGUAAGGAUAGAACUUAUAGCUCGAGGAAGAUGAAGGGAGAAGUAGUAUACAAAGGGUGCCUCAGGACCCAACUGGAGCUCAAAUUCAGGGAAAAGGGCAAGAAAAUCUAUGCAACCAAAGAGAGUCUAGAAUAGGGCUCAAUAUAAAGCUACUCAACAGGCUGAACUUGGUGUCCUCAAUUGAAAUAUUUUUCAAAUACUGCAAUAAGGUAAAAAAAAAGCGUUGAUGUUUCCUAAUUAGAGCAGCAUCAAGCUCAUGGCGGAGGUAAUAAUGAGGGUGAUCGGGGGACUACUCCUAUUAGAGAUGGUCAGAAUUCUUGCCCGAAAUGUGAAGGGCCUAAAAUGGCUUGAAUAAGCAGAAAGAGAUCCAGGUAUGAGUGCAUCACGCGGCAACUAAGAUCGUACGGUGAUCUUUGACACUUUGAGAUGAUCAUAUCAUUUUCUGUAAGGGAAAUGUAUGUUCAGUCCAAAGGGUGAUGAAAGCUUUGGAUUAUUUCUCAGUCGUUACCAGAUUGGAGGCAAAUAUAACUAAGUCAAACUUGUUCCUGGCAGGGAUAAAUGUUAAUUUACGAGGGAGAAUAAUUGAGCUUACUGAUUUUCUAGUUGGUACUUUCCCUAUAAGAUGCCUAGGCUUACCAUUGUCACUAAAGAAAUGAAAUGACAUGAAUUUUCAUCAAUUAUGUUUGAAGUUCACAGAAAAAAUUAGAGUUAUUGCAACUAGGCACCUUUCUUAUGCUGGAAGAUUAUAGGUAUUGAAUUGUCUUAUUUUUUAUGCAUAAAUUUUGGUGGACAAUUUUUAUACUACCUAAGAGUGAUUGCUGAACUGGAUAGAAAAUGUAGAACUGUUCUGUGGGGUGGUGAUGAGUCAAAGAAGAAACUAGCUUUGAUGGCUUGAGAAAAGGUAUGCAAACCAAAGAAGCAACGAGGGUUGAACAUUAAAGGUUGUAAAUUCUAGAACCAAGCAUCUGUGGGCAAACUUAUUCAAUUUUUGAUGGAGAAACCGGAUAUACUAUGGGUGAAAUAGGUUAAUGAGAUGUAUAUGGAGGGUGAGGAUUUUUGGCAGAUUGUCCUAAGUAGAGAGAGCAGUUGGUAUUGGAAGACACUGCAUAAACUCAAACUGAACAUGCUAGAAUGGUACUCUGGAGGUAGUUAUUAAUUAACUUCAAAGAGGGUAUACUCAAUAAAAACAGGUUAUUUGAAGUUGAUAGGGAAUGCACUGAAGUUUCCCAUGGUUGAACUACUUUGGAGCAGAACUUAUAUUAUGAUUGGCAGUGCAAGGUAGGAUGCUAACAAAAGAUAGAAUGUAGGACAUGGAAUUGGCAGGUGAUGAUCCACUAUGUAGUCUAUGUUUAACGGACAAUGUAGAGACUCUUGGUCACUUAUUUUUUGAGUCUCCUUGGUCGAUUGAUUUAUGAGAUCCUUAAUGAUCUGGUGUUGAUUAGGAGGAAGCACCGGGGGAAAUACAAGUAGGAAGUGAUGAUUGUAGUGUAUGAAGUUGUGGUCUAUCAAGUAUGGGUUGUCAGGUUCAUCUUACUUAGUCGGACUGAUCAAGGUGGGGUGCUCUUUACAUGUAUUGAAUUGAUUUGCUGGUAUGGUAAUAUUUCACAGUUUAUUAUCCAAAAAAACUUAAUAUGUAAAAAUAAUUUCUCUGAUGCUCAAUAAGCUAUUUAAAAAAAAAAGUAGUUCGAUACACUAAAACUCUCACUAUGCAUAGAGUUUAAAAAUGAUUAAAUCACAAAAAUCUUAGAUACGCAAUAUUUUGAAAAUCAAAACUUAUAAAUUCAAAAUUUUAAAUCCAUCUCUCAGUCCCGAUCACCAUCAUCAUCAUAAAUACAAUAAACAAGUCUCAUGGCAAACUCUUUCAAUUAAUGGAGACCAAUCCCAUUUUUGA